rnacentral:rRNA from 1 species
AAUGAACGCUGGCGGCGCGCCUAAUACAUGCAAGUCGAGCGAGAAGACGUGGCAAUACGUUUGUAAAGCGGCGAACGGGUGAGGAAUACAUGGGUAACCUACCCUCGAGUGGGGAAUAACUAGCCGAAAGGUUAGCUAAUACCGCGUACGCUUCUUGGACUUCGGUUCAGGGAGGAAAGCGAUGCCGAGGGUAUCGCGCUCUUGGAUGGGCUCAUGUCCUAUCAGCUUGUUGGGAGGUAACGGCUCACCAAGGCUUCGACGGGUAGCUGGUCUGAGAGGACGAUCAGCCACACUGGCACUGCGACACGGGCCAGACUCCUACGGGAGGCAGCAGUAAGGAAUAUUGCGCAAUGGGCGAAAGCCUGACGCAGCGACGCCGCGUGGGGGAUGAAGGUCUUCGGAUUG